CUAACCACUGUAUAAUCAUAAACCCUAUAAACAAAAGUGAGCUAUAGUAGUAAGUGAUAAACCUCAGAAAAAGAAAGCUAAUUAAGAUCAGAGAAAUGGCAGUUAAGGGUUUGAGUUUAGCCAUUUUGUUGAUUUGUAUUGUUGUGGCUUCUAGUGUGAAUGGAGCUUUUGGAGAAGCAAUCAAUUUUCAGGAAGCUUUGGUUCAUUGCAAUGGUGGUGUUGAAAAUCAAAAUUGCUGUAAAGUACUGAAUGCUGCUGUACAAAGGGAGCGUUAUUGCUGGUCUUCUCUUUUUGGACAGAUUUUCAUUGCUGAUCUCUUCAAGUGUGGUGUUAUGCCACAUUGUUGAGUAUUUGAUGGACUAGUCAAGGUUUGUCUAACUAGAGAGAAACUAGCCUGGUGUUUCGACCUUUGAUUUUCCACAAUGUCUUAUAGAAAGAAAAGAAAAAACAAAGUUGAGUCUUUGUGUUCCCUAUAUUACCUCAAUAUUACUUGUAACGUUUCUUUUUCGUGUAACUUUAUAAUGAAUGAAUAUUUGUUCGAUGCUAAUUGCAAGGAA